rnacentral:rRNA from 1 species
GACAGAGGGGGCAAGCGUUGAUCGGAAUCACUGGGCGUAAAGGGCGCGUAGGCGGGAUGGCAAGUCGGUCGUGAAAGCCUUCGGCUCAACCGAAGAACGUCGGCCGAUACUGCCGUUCUUGAGGGAUGCAGAGGAGACUGGAAUUCCCGGUGUAGCGGUGAAAUGUGUAGAGAUCGGGAGGAACACCGGUGGCGAAGGCGGGUCUCUGGGCAUCUCCUGACGCUGAGGCGCGAAAGCGUGGGGAGCAAACAGG